CAUCUGCCUGUUUUGGACAAUGGUGUUCAAGGUGACCAGGAGACACUUCAAAAUAACAUACAAGUGUUCCUCUGGAGGAAUUUCUGUGAUAUCCGAAAUGCACGAGGGAUAAAAUGGCAGACUGCCAGAGUGAUUAAUCAGUGGAAGCCAAGGACACAGAUUCAUGUGUGACUUGCACAAAAUCCAUGGAUGUAUCCAGCUGCCUUCAAGCAGAAGUAACCCCUGGGGGGAAAGGCAUGUCCCUACUGGUCACCCCAGAGACAGCUUUAAGCUGGUCCCAGCUCCCCUCUGUUGAGGUCUGUGCUUCCCAGGAGAAGGUUGGUUGCACCUCAGGCAAGAAAACCCCAAAGGCACAGGCUUUGCUGUGGGGAUUCCCUGCUGUGGAAGCCCUUCAGACACCAAUAUCUGUCUUCUUUCCUGUGUGGAAACUUAGGAAAGGGUUGAAAUAUAUCUGAGGGAAUUCUGCCAGAUAUUCAUGUAUCUACAUUUUCUACUCACUCAAGGGGAGCAGUGGUAACCAAUGUACUAAAAGUCUUCAAAUGCUGACAAAUACAAUUUAGCUUUGAAGGCUGCCAGCAAUUCUAUGGUAGUAAAUCCCAUUUGCAAUCAAAGGGUGAGUCAUUAGCCUUGACAUUUGAGAAAUGGAGAUUACUAUGAAUUUAUGAAAAAGGUUCCCUAAAAUGUUUCCUUAGCAACUGCUGCUGAGGAGCCUGGGGCAUCUCUCAGGUCCCCAGGCUCAGGAAAGCCAGCAGCAGUGGAGCAGAUGGUUUCCUAUCCACUUGCUGUAUGUAGUGCUAAGGGUUCACUAUCCCUUUCUGCUCAAGUCUUGUCUAAGUGAGGAAAAAAUGGUGUUUUCUUAUGUUCAGUUAUAUUUACUGAGCUGCCUUAAUGCUGCUGGAACUGUUGCAAUGGACACAGGUUAUUAUACAACUCAGAGGCCUGAACAGUAUCCCACACAAGGCUAUGAUCAACUUGGCCAGUUCCAAACAUGACCCCAACUGAAGUGAUAUGACAGCUUGUUACCACCAUGAAAAGCAUACCAUUUUAUUUUAAAAGGGUUUUGUUAAAAAAAAUAAAUUAGAGAAAGCUUACAGUUUUCCAUUUGUCCUCUGUUUCUGAAAUGCUCUUAAGUCCCUUACUCAAUCUUUUACUUAUAGCCGUGAGUUUUUCUUCUAGGUCCAGAAGACAGAGUAAUGAAGACCUUCCAUCUAUAGGGAAACAACAGAAUAUUUAUUGACCUGCUGUAAAAUCACAACCAUAGACAAUAUUAUGUAUUUUGUAAUUUACCUGGUAAAUUUAAUCUCAACAUAUUUUGUUUGGUUAAGCCAGAGAAAAGUACUGUUCUCUUAGUUAAAUAGGAUCCUUAGCUGGCUGCCACAUCAACAAAAAAUGUGAGAGACCUCAAGGGUUUUUCAGAUCCGAGUGAGACCAAUAAAAAACUUAACAGCUUCUAAAGAAAAGAUACUACUGCUGAUGUAACCCACAAUCCAAAUAUGAGCACAGUUCUUAGCAAUUCUACUGCAGAAUAUUUUCAGGGGAGUGGUUGCACUUCAUGACAUUCUUACAAAAAUAUGAAGAAUAUUAAUUUUUUUUUUUCCAAUGGAAAGAAAUCCUUUCUUUUCUGCUUUGUGAAACGAGACACUCCCCGUGUUUCUAUUGCUCCUGUGCUGCACAUCCACUGAGAAUGGCCUGUCAUUCUGCAAACUCUCAUGUAUUUUACAGAGUCAACAUUGCUAUUCAUCUCAUGCGACUGCAGCCAAUCUCGGCUGCCAGGUGAAACACGAUGUUGAAACAGAGAAACCGUCUCAAAGAAAUACAAGCUCUCAAAGCGUGAAUGGCUCUGUGGAUCAAAGAAGGCAUUUUGAAUUACACCUGGCAAUGGAGCAGAGCGCGGCCAAGGCCCCGGAGCGGGCGCAGGGUCGGAAGGAGGAGCGGUGGCGGGGCUGGCGGUCCCACCCUCGCCUGCUGAGGCUCUCGCAGGUCGGCUCUGAGCACAUCGGAGAUGAUUGGGAGCAGCUGCAAGCUGAGCCCAGUGCAGCGCUCCCAAUACAUUCCAGAUGAUGAAUAUGAUGCAGGCUUACUGGAAGAAAAAUAUAUUUCUGAAGAGAAAAACAAUUACUUCUCAAAGCAAGACAAUGAAGCUGAACCGAUGCUACAUGGGCAUAAAAUAGAACAGAACUUUCGGGCAAUGGCUUUAGCUCCUAAUAAAUCACCCACCUGGAGAUACUUUUGCAGAGUGAGCUUGGAUGUAUCAGACCCCAAAUAUUUUCAGAGGUAUAUAAAGUUGAAAAAUUAGGCAUUUAAACCUUUAUUUCUUCCCAAAGGGACAGAUACUUUGUUGUGUCAUAGCCUCCGAUUUUCAUGUUAGCAGAAAGGUGCCCUUGACAGUCCAAACAACACGUGAGGUGUCUCGUGGAAGUUAUGUAAAAAAGGCUUGGAAACACCACUCGAUACAGUGGGUUUCACUGGCUGAAUCUUCAGAGGGGACUUGAACGAAAUUUGCAAAAACAUGUCAAAAGUUAAGUGGCGAAAAUCAGCUUAAAUGCCUAAUUUUAAUUUUGUUUGUGCUCUUUGUUGUUUCAUUGUGGAGGGAGGGAAGAAGCUGUCUUUUUUCUCCCUGUCCUUUCAUUUUGUUUGGGAGAAAAUGGAUGUUGGUGAAAAGAAGAGAGCUCUGGCAGGGACUGGAAAGAGGUUGUUUAUUCUGUUUUGUUUUCUUUAGAAAGGGGCAACUCUUCUAAAACUGGUGAUGAUCCAGUUAAAGGGGGACUCCGGGUGGGGAAGAGAAAAGAAAACUAAUAAUCAGCCUCUAAAUGACAAGUUUUCUCUUGAACAAAAGAGCAACAGGAGGCAGUGCAGGCAGGGGGUCAGUGCCCAGGGGUAACGUGACCAAAACAAUGGCUGGAGAAUUUGUGCAGCUUUUGCCACUCCAGAAGCUGCUGCCCCAGUGCCUUCACUGAGGGCCUACAAGGAUCAAACCUGACCCAGUGCUGGGCAAGUGUGGUGCCACUUCUGGAGUCCUCCAAAGAGGAGGCAAUGACGGACUGUGAGAAAUGCAAGCAGGAAUUCAAGAAUUGAGAGGGAAGUGCCCCAGUUCUGAAUGACAGGUGUGAUUGAACAGCCCCAGCCAAUAAGGCAGAGCCCCUACCAGAAACAGGACUAAAGGUGGGGUUUAAAGUGACUUCAAUUAAAGAUGGAGACUGCUUGGCAGUGUCUGUGCUUCUCUUGCACUUGGUUAAUUUCCUGGUGGGGAAAGCCAGUGGUGCUGGAUAAACUGAAGUGAGAUGAUUUUAAACUGUUAUGAGUAUUCACGCAGAAGUUCAUUCUGGUUUAGACUAAAUUGGUUUUAAUUUCAAUUCAUGUAGCUUCUGCGUGGACGAGGCCUAUGGCUUGCCAUUUUGCAGCAAUGGUGAAUUUAUAGCAUAUGUGCUGCAAAUGGACUAUCAUGCAAAUUCUCCUGGUAUUUGCUCCAAGUCCAGUUCCAGCUGUCGGUGGAGAUGGAGGAGCAGAAUAGACCACUCACAUGGCCUCCCAUGUAAUGCAGAUUGGAUCUAUUGUCAGUCAGAUGGACUGGUGGUGUGGGAGCAGUGUGAAGCCAGUUCUUUCACUACAUGGUGUGUAAAGCAAUGAGGCAGACAAAAGCUGGAUUUAAAUUAAGGAAUAUUUCUGCCAAAUUUCGUUCUCUGAAGCAGAAAAAUAAAACACUUAAUGUGUCUGGCAAUGUUUAUUCUGUGCACAGGGUUUUAGCUGAUCAUAAAAGAAGAGCUACGUGUGAACAUUAUCUGGCAACUUCAUCAUAUUCUGAGGAGAUGGGAGAGUAUGAUUCCACCAUGGUCUGAAAAAGUAUUAGACUGAGAAAGGGGAAACAAUUUGGCAAGAAAAUAAGAUGGCAAGAGAAAAAGAAAAAAAAAUAGGUUCUUUCUGAUUAGGUAGGAAUUACCAGUUAUAAUCACAGCAAAAUCCUAUCUGCCACAAAGGCUCAAUUUUGAAAGUCCUUGAUGUCCUCAGCAUCCUGCUCAGCGGUCAGAAGUUUCCCAUUUUUCCUUCUUGCUGCUUAUUCAAAGUAUGGCAAGACCAGAAUGGUUGGAAAAUACAUGUGCUGCUCAUGCAGUAACUGCAUGUGCAUGAAAAUAAAAGAAUUCCUUGCCUGUGCACCAUGGGUAUCUGUACUGAUUAGAAGGCAGUAACUCCCAUUACAUGCAUAUUUGAAGACUUGGCCCUGAAUUCUACUGGUGAAGUAUUUUUCAUGACUUUUCCACUGUAUCUUCUUAGAGAUUUGUGUUCCAAUCAUCCAAUACCUUGACAGAAAUAGAAGACAAUGUUAAAAAUAAUCCAAAGAAAUAAUACUAGACCGUUUUUAAUUCCAAAUGAUUGAAAGAGCAAGUAUCAGCUAAUGUGAAUGAAAACAUAGUCGUGUAAUCCACGUAAGAAGAAUGUCAAGAAUAACAACUUUGUAACUGGAUUUGGAAAAAUAAACAAUUCUUUCCUUUUUUGCAUAAU